AUAAAGUUUUAUUUUGGCUUGAAAUUUUAUUAUUGAUUUAUUUUAUAUGUAAAUUUUUGUAUGUUUUUUUAUUUAUUUAAAUAAUAAAUAAUUUUUAUUAUAUUUUCAAUAAUUAGUUUUAAAUAAUCAAGGAAACUUGGAAGUAGUAAUUUCAUUUAGUAUUGGCUAAAUUUGUGCCAGCAGUCGCGGUUAUACAAAUAAUGCAAAUAAAUUUUGUUUAGUAAAAGUUAAAUUUAUUAAGAUAUUUUUAUAUAUCUUUAUAUAAUAAAUAUAAAUUUAUUAGGUGAAAUUUUAAAUUUAUUAAUUUAUAAUAAAAUGUUAUUUAAGCUUGGAAAUUUUAUAAAUAAACUAGGAUUAGAUACCCUAUUAUUAAAAAUGUAGAUUAAAAUACUAAAGUAGUAGUAGUUAUGUUCUUGAAACUUAAAAAAUUUGGCGGUAUUUUAGUCUGUUCAGAGGAACCUGUUUUAUAAUCGAUAAUCCACGAUGUACCUCACUUAAAUUUGUAUUUCAGUUUAUAUACCGUUGUUAUUAGAAUAUUUUAAUAGAAUAAUAAUUUUCAAUAAAUUUAAUUUAAAUUUUAUAUCAGAUCAAGGUGUAGCUUAUAUUUAAGUAAUAAUGGGUUACAAUAAAUAUAUUUAAAUGAAUUUAAAUGUGAAAUGUUUAAUGAAAUUGGAUUUGAUAGUAAAGUUUAAUAGAUUAUAAAUUUGAUUUUAGCUCUAAAAUAUGCACAUAUCGCCCGUCGCUCUUAUUAUUAAGGUAAGAUAAGUCGUAACAUAGUAGGUGUACCGGAAGGUGUCCCUAGAAUGA
rnacentral:ncRNA from 1 species